rnacentral:rRNA from 1 species
AUACGGGGGGUGCGAGCGUUAACCGGAAUUACUGGGCGUAAAGCGUACGUAGGCGGUUGGUUAAGUUAGAUGUGAAAGCCCCGGGCUUAACCUGGGAACUGCAUUUAAAACUGGCGAACUAGAGUUGAGUAGAGGGGAGUGGAAUUUCAGGUGUAGCGGUGAAAUGCGUAGAGAUCUGAAGGAACACCAGUGGCGAAGGCGACUCCCUGGACUCGAACUGACGCUGAGGUACGAAAGCGUGGGUAGCAAACGGGAUUAGAAACCCUAGUAGUCC